rnacentral:rRNA from 1 species
GGCUUAGAGUUUGAUCAUGGCUCAGGAUGAACGCUGGCGGCGUGCCUAACACAUGCAAGUCGAGCGAAGCACUUGUUUCUGAUCUUUCGGGUGAAGAAACUUGUGACUGAGCGGCGGACGGGUGAGUAACACGUAGGUAACCUGCCUCACACAGGGGGAUAACAGUUAGAAAUGACUGCUAAUACCGCAUAAGCGCACAGGGCUGCAUGGCCCGGUGUGAAAAGCUCCGGCGGUGUGAGAUGGACCUGCGUCUGAUUAGCCAGUUGGCGGGGUAACGGCCCACCAAAGCGACGAUCAGUAGCCGGCCUGAGAGGGUGGACGGCCACAUUGGGACUGAGACACGGCCCAGACUCCUACGGGAGGCAGCAGUGGGGAAUAUUGCACAAUGGGGGAAACCCUGAUGCAGCGACGCCGCGUGAGCGAAGAAGUAUCUCGGUAUGUAAAGCUCUAUCAGCAGGGAAGAAGAUGACGGUACCUGACUAAGAAGCACCGGCUAAAUACGUGCCAGCAGCCGCGGUAAUACGUAUGGUGCAAGCGUUAUCCGGAUUUACUGGGUGUAAAGGGAGCGUAGACGGAAAAGCAGGUCUGGAGUGAAAGCCCGGGGCUCAACCCCGGGACUGCUUUGGAAACUGUUAUUCUUGAGUGCCGGAGAGGUAAGCG